rnacentral:rRNA from 1 species
CCUACGGGAGGCAGCAGUGGGGAAUUUUGGACAAUGGGCGAAAGCCUGAUCCAGCAAUGCCGCGUGCAGGAUGAAGGCCCUCGGGUUGUAGACUGCUUUUGUACGGAACGAAAAGCCUGGGGCUAAUAUCCCCGGGUCAUGACGGUACCGUAAGAAUAAGCACCGGCUAACUACGUGCCAGCAGCCGCGGUAAUACGUAGGGUGCAAGCGUUAAUCGGAAUUACUGGGCGUAAAGCGUGCGCAGGCGGUUUUGUAAGACAGUGGUGAAAUCCCCGGGCUCAACCUGGGAACUGCCAUUGUGACUGCAAGGCUAGAGUGCGGCAGAGGGGGAUGGAAUUCCGCGUGUAGCAGUGAAAUGCGUAGAUAUGCGGAGGAACACCGAUGGCGAAGGCAAUCCCCUGGGCCUGCACUGACGCUCAUGCACGAAAGCGUGGGGAGCAAACAGGAUUAGAUACCCUGGUAGUCCACGCCCUAAACGAUGUCAACUGGUUGUUGGGUCUUAACUGACUCAGUAACGAAGCUAACGCGUGAAGUUGACCGCCUGGGGAGUACGGCCGCAAGGUUGAAACUCAAAUGAAUUGACGGGG